UUCCAAAGUUAUAAGUUUAAUUUGUAUCGAAUAAAAUUGUGUUAUAUUAAGUGAAAAAAACAGAUUCACAAGCAUGACGGAACCCAGACAAACCAAAGGAUUGAAAUGGGUUGAAAAAUGCUGCGGCCACCAAGUAUGAACCAAAGUCGAGUUCCGAGCUUGUGACAAAUUACAAUUAACUUUAUUUGACAACAAUAAUAAAGGAUUGUUUGCAAAUGA